rnacentral:lncRNA from 1 species
AUGUGGUUGGAGCAGACAGUGUAUGAUGGAUCUUACCUAAGGCAAACAGCCAAUGCCUCAUGCUGCUAUGUGAUUUUAUUUCCAGCACUGGCUAACUAUAGAGGGAACAACCCUUCUUUGCCUACAGGAAAUCUCUCAUUUCCAUGGAUGUACAGCUGGCCAGGAGAGCUCCAGCAGCUGACGAUGGAUCCAGGGACAGAAGCAUCAACUUGUGCAACCACUGCCCGAGAAGACGUGUUUCCUAACCCACCUUAUGGUGAGUGGCCAGCCCUGUGGCCAGCGGGGCAAGAGCCAGCGUGA